rnacentral:lncRNA from 1 species
CCAACAGACCAUGUGAUUUCCUAGUAUCACAUUAUAGGUUAACAACAGCUAAAGAACACUGUUAAAAGUGCAGUGCUCUAAACUGAUGACUAAAAGUAUCAUUUUCUUAGAGAGAUAGUUUUGUAGAGAUGAGGUUUCACCAUGUUGUCCAGGCUGGUCUCAAACUCCUGGACUCAAGCAAUCCUCCCACCUCAGCCUCCCAAAGAGCUCAACUCAAUUGGGCUAAUUUCAAUAUGUUGUGUCUCAGGGAACAGCAACGUCUGAGGAGAGGAAGAGAGAUGGAGGGAAUGGCUGGUUGGUGAAGCAGUCAGAACACAUACAACAUUUGUAAUUUAUGCUCACUGUCUUACAUGGUCAUGGUUUGUGGCGUACACCAAAACUUUCCCAGGCUAACUGGGACACAGGGUAACUCUAGUUAUAAACACAUCGAUGCAAAAACAUUUAAGAUUAAUGGGAUUGAGGUACAUUCCCAGUUCUUAAGGGGCUAUCAUCAAUUCUUCAAUUGUUCUUCCCAAGCUCCUACUUUUGGAAAGCAUUAGCCACUAGUAAGGGAAAGAAGCCAAAGGAUUCUCUUUUAUAAUUUUGUCCCUUGAACUGGGAUA